rnacentral:sRNA from 1 species
UCUAUUAGGCAUCUUAAUGUUCACGUUGC